UCACUCUAGUCUGUGCUCUUGAUAAAUCAAGAGUCUCUUGGUUUGGCGUUGGGCUUAGCACCUAUCAAUCUAUACAAGCAUGCGUCACUUCGUGGUCUUGGCCGCUCUGGUGUUGGCUGUCUGCGUCCUGGCCCCGUCACACGCCCACCGUCCCUAUGGUGGCUAUGGCUAUGGCAGCCGCCCUGGCUAUGGAGGCGCCGACUUCAAUCCCGGAUUUGCUGAUGGCAACGGAUUUGCAGGCGUCGUUGACAUUAGAGGCAACCGCGGCUUUGAAGAAACUGCUGCCAACGGCUUCGGAGGACUUGGAGGAAUAGGCGUCGGGGUUCUCGGAGGACAAGUUGCUGGUGGCUUUGGAGGCGCCGACGGAGGCCUUGGAGGAAGGCUUAGCGAUGGCCAAGAAGGCUGUAAGUACUGGUGCCUUAAGAAGUACAAGGGCGAGUACACUUGUUGCUCCCCCUCAUGAGACUACGAAGAACCACCUGGAAGCUUCUGGAGCUCUCUUCGAUGACGAUGCCGUCGGAGAGCCGUUCCGCCUCGCCACGCUCUUCAUUCACGCGAUCGAUUGAUCUGAAUACAUUUGAUAUAACGAUGUAUUCAGUGAUUUAACGAUGUAAACAGUUAUAUAAUGAUGUAUACAAUAAUAUAACGAUGCGUACGAUGAUAAAAGUAUGUGUGUAAUGAUAAAAUAAUGUAUAUAAUGAUAUAACGAUAUACAAUGAUUUAACGAUGUAUUAAAUGAUGUGACGAUGUAUAUAAUGAUAUAACGAUGUAUACAAUGACAGAACGAUGUAUAUAAUGGGUGUUAUGCCACAUUCAGUGUAUAUAAUCAUACACAUUCAAUGGGUAAAUUUAAAAAAAAUUACUCUUGUUUGCAAUGUAUAUAGUAUUUAAGAUCGUUUAUCAAAUAUUUGCAAUAAUGUAUUGCAAAAUUUAGUUUAAUAAAUUUAUUUUCACUGCACCAUUAUACAAUCUGUUAAUAGAUUAUCAGAAUAAAAAAACUCUUCAGGCAGUAUUACGAUAUUUUUUGGUCUCAAGUGUUAGAAUAAAUAAAAAUUCUCAUACAAUUAUUUUGUCUCACGCUAACAAUCAUUUUCUUUCGUACAUGAAGAUAAUAAAAUAGUUUAACAUCAGUAGGCAAACACGAUCAAAUUGAGAAAGCAUUUAAUCAAGUGGGUAGUAUGUAAUAUUGAAGAAUUUGUUAAAAUUUGCUGAACAUUA